UUUGAUAGGAAUAGGACUAAACUUUAUGAUUCCUUCUUGUAACUGAAGUACCUUAAAACACAAUCUUAAAUCCUGAUCUGGUAAUGAGUGCAUAAGCGUGUCUACAUUCAACCUCGCUCUUCACCCAAAUCUGAAAUUAAGAAAAAAAAAUCAUUCAUACAUAUAAUUUAAGGCAUAUUGAGAUUUGAAAUUCUCCAGAACCGACUUGUGGGAUUACACUAGGUUUAUUGUUGUUAUUGUUGAGAUCUGAAAUUACUGACUUGCAUCUGAUAGACGGUGGAACAGGGCUUUGCAUCACUAGCAGUGAUGGCUCAGUGUUGGGAAGACUGCAUCGAAAGAAAAUGAGCAGGAUGGUUCAAGUCAAUUGUGGCGUUCUGGUUAGGCAACCAUGAUGAGAGCAUUUUCAGAUCUCCUACAGCAUGCCUGGCUAAGAUCUGCUCUACGGAUGGUUGUAUGCAUAUAUAGUCCGUUCUUUACUUUUUUUUUUGUCAAAGUAACAUGCUCAAUACUACUUCAGUAAAAUACUUCCUUUAAAUACAUCAUGACUGAAUCCUAUUCGUGCGUAUGUGUCUAUAUUUAAAAUGCAAUCACCUCAAUGCUGG
rnacentral:lncRNA from 1 species